rnacentral:tRNA from 1 species
AUCGACGACUCAGCUGCACCAUAAGCACCCACACGAAUUGCUUGAUUCAUUGAAGAAGACGAUUAGAAGCAGCUUUAAGCUCCAAGCUGAUAGCUCAACGCUAGCGGCUACAAGCUCGAAAUUGGGUCUGUAGCUCAGUUGGUUAGAGCGCACCCCUGAUAAGGGUGAGGUCGGCAGUUCGAAUCUGCCCAGACCCACCAAUUUUGUGUGGGAAACGCCUGUAGAGAUACGGGGCCAUAGCUCAGCUGGGAGAGCGCCUGCCUUGCACGCAGGAGGUCAGCGGUUCGAUCCCGCUUGGCUCCACCACUUACUGCUUCUGUUUGAAAGCUUAGAAAUGAGCAUUCCACCCCGAGAGAUUGAAGGGUGCGUGAAUGUUGAUUUCUAGUCUUUGAUUAGAUCGUUCUUUAAAAAUUUGGGUAUGUGAUAUAAAGAAAUAUAGACCGGGCACCUCUUUCACUGGUGCGUGUCCGGGCUAAGGUAAAGUUUGUGAAAUGCAAACUUUCGGCGAAUGUCGUCUUCACAGUAUAACCAGAUUGCUUGGGGUUAUAU